CCCUUAGAUGUCCUGGGCCGCACGCGCGUUACACUGAUGCGUUCAACGAGCUUAUAGCCUUGGCCGAGAGGCCUGGGCAAUCUUGUUAACGUGCAUCGUGAUAGGGAUAGAUUAUUGAAAUUAUUAAUCUUGAACGAGGAAUUCCUAGUAAACGCAGAUCAUCAAUCUGCAUUGAUUACGUCCCUGCCCUUUGUACACACCGCCCGUCGCACCUACCGAUUGGAUGGUCCGGUGAAGCCUCGGGAUUGUGGUUCUUGCCGCUUUAUUGUGGCGUGACCGCGAGAACUUGUCUAAACCUUAUCAUCUAGAGGAAGGUGAAGUCGUAACA
rnacentral:rRNA from 1 species